ACAAGCAGCGGAGCGUGUGGUUUAAUUCGAGGCUACACGAAGAACCUUACCAGGGUUUGACAUGCAAGUGGUAGGAAUCCGAAAGGUGACCGACCCUUCGGGGAGCUUGCACAGGUGCUGCAUGGCUGUCGUCAGCUCGUGUCGUGAGAUGUUCGGUUAAGUCCGCUAACGAGCGCAACCCUCGUCGUGUGUUAUACGUGUCACACGAUACUGCCGGUAUCAAGCCGGAGGAAGGUGGGGAUGAUGUCAAGUCAGCAUGGCCUUUAUAUCCUGGGCUACACACACGCUACAAUGGCAGAUACAAUAGGUUGCGAAACCGCGAGGUGGAGCCAAUCCUCAAAGUCUGUCUCAGUUCAGAUUGUAGGCUGCAACUCGCCUGCAUGAAGUUGGAGUUGCUAGUAAACGCAGGUCAGCUAUACUGCGUUGAAUACGUUCCCGGGGUUU
rnacentral:rRNA from 1 species